AUGGCCUCCCCGCCCUCCCCACCGCCGCCGCCGCCCGCUCCCACCACCAUAUUCGAUCUCGGCGACGACCUCCUCCGCCAGAUCCUCCUCCGCCUCCCCGCCCUCCCGAUCCUCGUCCGCGCCGCCUGCGCCUGCCGCGCCUUCCGCCGCGCCGCCCGCACGUUCCCCUCCUUCCGCCGCAGCUUCCGCGAGCGCCACGCGCCGCCCGUGCUCGCGCUCUUCCUCGAGCCCAACAUGGAGGUCGUCCCGCUCCACCCCUGCCCCUGGCGCCGCCGCGACCCGGACCUCGUCGCCGCCGAUUUCUUUGACGUCCGCCACGGCGACGCCCUCUCCUCCGGGUGGAAGAUCAAUUCCGAGACUCCUAGCUCCGGCGGCUACCUCAUCCUCGACAACUGGAGCGAGGGCGCUCAGCGGGGAGCCGCCUACAGCCCGCUGACGCAGGUCCUGGAUCUGUUCCUCGAUCUGCCGCCGGUGGGAAAGAUCUACCUUGAAUUCUACACGCUCCUCCCCGAAGACGGCCGGAGGCCGUCCCGCGUGGUCUGUGUGCGUGUAGACGGCCAACGGGCGGAGCGGGCCGCCGUCUUCUCAUCGGACACCAUGGAGUGGCAAAUUUUCCCGGAGACUACGCUGCAGCUGACUGUAUCUGACAGGCUCAGGGCCAGCGGAGUGGUGCAUGGGCUCGUUUACUGGAGAGGCUGGAUGUAUGACCAAAUCGUGGUGCUCGACACCGCCACCUUUCAGUUCUCUCUAAUCGAUCUGCCCACGCCUUUGAAACCGGAGUUGGGUGAAUCAACAUAUAAGCUUGGUGAGACCAAGGAUGGGAAGCUCUGCAUCGUAGAUAUAAAGGAUAACACUAUUGUUUCUUGGUUCCUGGACAAUGGCAGUGUCAUAGAGAGAUGGAUUUCCUACAAGAAUUUCCCAUUGCGCCCAAUUGUUAGGGAGCUCACUGGGUGCUCAAUGGAGGAAGAGGAUUAUUGUAAUGUCAACGUGGACCUAGUGGCAGUUAUCGAUGGCUUUGUCUACAUCUGUAUUUUCUACCUCAAGGACACAGAAUAUUGUGAGUCGUACCUGUCAAUAUGCCUGGAAACAUCAGAUAUGUGCGAGCUCUAUAAUGGUGCAUAUCGGCAUAAUGAGGCGGCCCAUCCCUAUGUCAUGGCAUGGCCUCCCUCUUUGGUGCAAAGCAAGCAGGAGGAAUCAGAAACUGAAGAUGAUGAUCCCAAGGACACAGAAGAAACUUCCUCUGUCCUCAUCGCUGCACUGCAGUCUUUCAGCCAUGCUUUGAUGAAUGCUGAUAAAGAAAAAGAAAUCGUGGCAGAGUUAGAUGCCUUCUUGCGUCCCACCGAAGAUGGCAAGGGCUCUCUUAUCAGCAGAAUCGCUACUUUGGAUGCGAAGAUGACGACCGUGAGGAACCGUAUCCUGAGGAUAAGUGAAUGA
rnacentral:rRNA from 1 species